AUACGGAGGAUGCGAGCGUUAUCCGGAUUUAUUGGGUUUAAAGGGUGCGUAGGCUGUGCGUUAAGUCAGGGGUGAAAUGCCGUCGCUCAACGACGGAGCUGCCCUUGAUACUGGCGUGCUGGAGUACGGAUGCCGUUGGUGGAAUGAGUGGUGUAGCGGUGAAAUGCUUAGAUAUCACUCAGAACACCGAUUGCGAAGGCAUCUGACGAAUCCGUCGCUGACGCUGAGGCACGAAAGCGUGGGGAUAGAACAGGAUUAGAUACCCUGGUAUUCCACGCCGUAAACGAUGAUGACUAACCGUCGGCGAUAGACAGCCGGUGGCCAAGCGAAAGCGAUAAGUCAUCCACCUGGGGAGUACGUCGGCAACGAUGAAACUCAAAUGAAUUGGCGGGG
rnacentral:rRNA from 1 species